rnacentral:rRNA from 1 species
UACGGGGGGAGCAAGCGUUGUUCGGAUUUACUGGGCGUAAAGGGCGCGUAGGCGGUUCGUUAAGUCCUGUGUGAAAUCCCCCGGCUCAACUGGGGAACUGCACAGGAAACUAGCGGGCUUGAGUUCGGGAGAGGGAAGCGGAAUUCCGGGUGUAGCGGUGAAAUGCGUAGAUAUCCGGAGGAACACCGAUGGCGAAGGCAGGUCUCUGGGCAUUAACUGACGCUGAGGAGCGAAAGCAUGGGGAGCGGAUGGG